rnacentral:ncRNA from 1 species
AAAUUGCCGCCCCGGAAAGGGGACGAGCCACUCCACUGGGAAUCGAGUCUUGGGCUCAUGAAGGUAACGACAUGAGUUAAGCGUAGACAGAGCGAUGUCCAGGCCGUAACGCAAGUGAAGCGAUAGAGCCUCGUUAUACAUCCGGAGGCCGACAGGGUCGAAAAUCUGGAAGGCAACAGUAGGCGACCGCAAAGGGCGAUGGUCGCUGGAGACUCCGGCGGGGUCUGAGAGCA